AAGGGAGAGGACUACGUGGGAAUCUACCCUCAGAACAGGGAUAGCGGCGGGAAACUGCCGGUAAUACCUGAUAAUGUCUGAGGACCAAAGGUGCGAAUCCGUCUGAGGAUGAGCCCACGUCCUAUUAGCUUGUUGGUGGGGUAAUGGCCUACCAAGGCAAUGAUGGGUAGCGGGUGUGAGAGCACGACCCGCCUCACUGGGACUGAGAACUGCCCAGACACCUACGGGUGGCUGCAGUCGAGAAUCUUCGGCAAUGAGCGCAAGCUUGACCGAGCGACGCCGCGUGCGGGAUGAAGGCCUUUGGGUUGUAAACCGCUGUCGUAGGGGAGCAAGAGAUGAGGGUACUCCCUCAAAUUUGAGCGAUCCUAGGAGGAAGGAGAGGCUAAGCUCGUGCCAGCAGCCGCGGUAAGACGAGCUCUCCAAACGUUAUUCGGUAUCACUGGGCUUAAAGAGUUCGUAGGCGGCUCCGUAGGUGAGGUGUGAAAUCCCUCGGCUCAACCGAGGAAUUGCGCUUCAAACCGUGGAGCUAGAGGUAGACAGGGGUAAGCGGAACAGAUGGUGGAGCGGUGAAAUGCGUUGA
rnacentral:rRNA from 1 species